AAAGCACUUCGUAGCCACGAGCUCUUCAUUCGUUACCUCACAAGACAUUAUACAGAUCCAUAACCAUGGCCAAAUUAAUUGUUUCCACUAACCCUAAUUAUGAAAAAGCAUCCAGAAGAAGCUGGAAUUUUCUGGCUGAAAACGUGAAGCAACCAGCGUGAGCUCGGCAUUCAUUACAUCACAGUUGAUAUUUACCACGACUCGCCAUCGAUCAGCCGGAGUCAGACUUCAUUUUUUUCUUUGCUUUAAUUUAAUUUGACCUUCACAGGACCUGACAGCAGAUGGUGAGCAGUGUGUUUAGAGGCGCUCCAAAUAACAGCGUUGAAAACAAGGCCCAGCUGGAGGAGAACACGCAAAUACACAAUCACAGAACAAAGUCUUUGUGUCUGACACACACACACAUACACACACACAA